rnacentral:tRNA from 1 species
UGUAAUCUGGUGUUUUUAGCAUUUUAUGUUUUGGUCAUAAAGGGAAAUAGUCUUUGAUUGCAA